ACGGGAGGCAGCAGUGAGGAAUAUUGGUCAAUGGACGAGAGUCUGAACUAGCCAAGUCGCGUGAAGGAAGAAGGUUCUAUGGAUUGUAAACUUCUUUUGCCAGAGGGUAAAGUGGCGGACGAGUCCGCUAUUGCAAGUAUCUGGUGAAUAAGCAUCGGCUAACUCCGUGCCAGCAGCCGCGGUAAUACGGAGGAUGCGAGCGUUAUCCGGAUUUAUUGGGUUUAAAGGGUGCGUAGGCGGGAUGUUAAGUCAGCGGUGAAAGCGUGUAGCUCAACUAUACCAAGCCGUUGAAACUGGCGUCCUUGAGUGUAAACGAGGUAGGCGGAAUGUGAUGUGUAGCGGUGAAAUGCUUAGAUAUGUCACAGAACCCCGAUUGCGAAGGCAGCUUACCAGCAUACAACUGACGCUGAGGCACGAAAGCGUGGGUAUCAAACAGGAUUAGAUACCCUGGUA
rnacentral:rRNA from 1 species